rnacentral:rRNA from 1 species
UACGAAGGGGGCUAGCGUUGUUCGGAAUUACUGGGCGUAAAGCGCGCGCCGGCGGUCUUCCAAGUCAGUGGUGAAAUCCUGGAGCUCAACUCCAGAACUGCCUUCGAUACUGUAGAGCUUGAGUUCGGGAGAGGUGAGUGGAACUGCGAGUGUAGAGGUGAAAUUCGUAGAUAUUCGCAAGAACACCAGUGGCGAAGGCGGCUCACUGGCCCGAUACUGACGCUGAGGUGCGAAAGCGUGGGGAGCAAACAGG